GACGAACGCUGGCGGCGUGCUUAACACAUGCAAGUCGAACGGAAAGGCCCUGCUUUUUUGGUGUGCUCGUGUCGAGAACGUGUGUAAAACGUGUGAAUAACGUGCCUUUCACUUUGGUAUAACUGGGAGAAACUGUGGAUAAUACCGGAUAUGCGCUCCUCCUUCAUGGGGUGUUUUGAAAAUUUUCGGCGGUUGGGGAUGGACUCGCGGCUUAUCAGCUUGUUGGUGGGGUAGUGGCUUACCAAGGCUUUGACGGGUAGCCGGCCUGAGAGGGUGACCGGCCACAUUGGGACUGAGAUACGGCCCAGACUCCUACGGGAGGCAGCAGUGGGGAAUAUUGCACAAUGGGCGGAAGCCUGAUGCAGCAACGCCGCGUGAGGGAUGACGGCCUUCGGGUUGUAAACCGCUUUCGCCUGUGAAGAAGCGAGAGUGACGGUAAUGGGUAAAGAAGCACCGGCUAACUACGUG
rnacentral:rRNA from 1 species